CCCAGCCCCGCGCGGAGAGGGUGCGCUGAGCCCGGGCCUCGCCCCCUGCCCGCCCCAGCGCGGCCGAGGCUGUAUACGUUUCCACAAAGCCAAACUGCUCACAACUCCGGCGAGGCCGAAAUCCCCCGCCAAGUGACACGGCCCUGAGACGGAGGUCUCCCGGCUGGCUCUCCGCUUCCUCCGCCUCCCUGGGCGACGGCCCGCGGCUUCGCUCUGGCGACAGGAAUUUGGAGCGAAAGAAAAAGCUGCGCCAAACUCUGUCGUGACCUCAAACUCUUUGGACUGCUUCUGGUUUUAUUUUUUCUUUUUCUUUCUUUCUUUUUUUUUUGUUUUUUUUUUUUGGUUUUUUUUGAAUAUUGGAAGAACAUCAUCCUUCAAGAAGAUCGGCAUAGGAGGAGAUGGAAGUUUUCCCAUGGCUCUUGGUUUUGUCCGUCUGGUGGUCUCGAACCUGGGACUCGGCGAAUGCGGAUUCGAUCAUUCACAUCGAUUCUCUGGGCCAAAGGACAGCUGCUUGUUUACAAGGCUGACUUAAUUACUUUAAACACUGCGGACUGA
rnacentral:lncRNA from 1 species